UACGGAGGGGGCAAGCGUUAUUCGGAAUCAUUGGGCGUAAAGGGCGUGUAGGCGGCUUUGUUUGUCUCAUGUGAAAGCCCUCGGCUCAACCGGGGAACUGCAUGGGAAACGGCAGAGCUUGAGUCCGGGAGAGGAUAGUGGAAUUCCCAGUGUAGCGGUGAAAUGCGUAGAUAUUGGGAGGAACACCAGUGGCGAAGGCGGCUAUCUGGACCGGUACUGACGCUGAGACGCGAAAGCCAGGGGAGCAAACGGG
rnacentral:rRNA from 1 species